AGUGAACGCUGGCGGUAGGCCUAACACAUGCAAGUCGAACGGCAGCACAGUAAGAGCUUGCUCUUACGGGUGGCGAGUGGCGGACGGGUGAGGAAUACAUCGGAAUCUACUUUUUCGUGGGGGAUAACGUAGGGAAACUUACGCUAAUACCGCAUACGACCUACGGGUGAAAGCAGGGGAUCUUCGGACCUUGCGCGAUUGAAUGAGCCGAUGUCGGAUUAGCUAGUUGGCGGGGUAAAGGCCCACCAAGGCGACGAUCCGUAGCUGGUCUGAGCGGAUGAUCAGCCACACUGGAACUGAGACACGGUCCGGACUCCUACGGGAGGCAGCAGUGGGGAAUAUUGGACGAUGGGCGCAAGCCUGAUCCAGCCAUACCGCGUGGGUGAAGAAGGCCUUCGGGUUGUAAAGCCCUUUUGUUGGGAAAGAAAAGCAGCAGGUUAAUACCCCGCUGUUCUGACGGUACCCAAAGAAUAAGCACCGGCUAACUUCGUG
rnacentral:rRNA from 1 species